CUUAGCUCAGUGAGUUGAGCAAGGGACUGUUAAUCUCAGGGUGGUGGGUUCGAGCCCCAUAUUGA